rnacentral:rRNA from 1 species
CCUACGGGCGGCAGCAGUGGGGAAUAUUGGGCAAUGGAGGAAACUCUGACCCAGCAACGCCGCGUGAAUGAUGAAGGUCUUCGGAUCGUAAAGUUCUUUUCUUAGGGAAGACGAAAGUGACGGUACCUUAGGAAUCAGCCUCGGCUAACUACGUGCCAGCAGCCGCGGUAAUACGUAGGAGGCGAGCGUUAUCCGGAAUGACGGGGCGUAAAGGGUGCGUAGGUGGUUUGGCAAGUUAGUAGCGUAACUCCAAGGCUCAACCUUGGAACUACUACUAAUACUGGGGGAAUUGAGUGCAGGAGGGGCAACCGGAAGUCCAAGUGGAGCGGUGGAAUGCGUAGAUAGUAGGAGGAACACCAGUGGCGAAGGCGGGUUGCUAGACUGUAACUGACACUGAGGCACGAAAGCGUGGGGAGCAAACAGGAUUAGAUACCCGAGUAGUC